UACGGAGGGUGCAAGCGUUAUCCGGAUUCACUGGGUUUAAAGGGUGCGUAGGUGGAUUGGUAAGUCAGUGGUGAAAUCUCCGGGCUUAACCCGGAAACUGCCAUUGAUACUAUCAGUCUUGAAUACCGUGGAGGUCAGUAGAAUAUGUCAUGUAGCGGUGAAAUGCAUAGAUAUGACCCGGAACACCUAUUGCGAAGGCAGCAGGCUAAACAAAUAUUGACGCUGAGGCUCGAAAGCGUGGGGAUCAAACAGG
rnacentral:rRNA from 1 species